ACGUACACUCCUACGGGAGGCAGCAGUGGGGAAUCUUGCGCAAUGGGCGAAAGCCUGACGCAGCCAUGCCGCGUGAAUGAUGAAGGUCUUAGGAUUGUAAAAUUCUUUCACCGGGGACGAUAAUGACGGUACCCGGAGAAGAAGCCCCGGCUAACUUCGUGCCAGCAGCCGCGGUAAUACGAAGGGGGCUAGCGUUGCUCGGAAUUACUGGGCGUAAAGGGAGCGUAGGCGGACAUUUAAGUCAGGGGUGAAAUCCCGGGGCUCAACCUCGGAAUUGCCUUUGAUACUGGGUGUCUUGAGUAUGAGAGAGGUGUGUGGAACUCCGAGUGUAGAGGUGAAAUUCGUAGAUAUUCGGAAGAACACCAGUGGCGAAGGCGACACACUGGCUCAUUACUGACGCUGAGGCUCGAAAGCGUGGGGAGCAAACAGGAUUAGAAACCCGAGUAGUCCCAUGAU
rnacentral:rRNA from 1 species